rnacentral:lncRNA from 1 species
UCUGGCCCUGGAGACACCAACUCCAAGCAGGCCGAUGUUCAAACACUGAGCACAGCCUUUGAGGCCGUCACCCGAGUCCAUUUCCCCGAGGCCCUGGGUCACGUGGCACUGCGGCUGGUGCCCUGUCCACCCAUCUGCGCGGCUGCCUAUGCUCUUGUCUCCAAGUACUGGCCAGGGGUGGAAGGGUGGAGCACACACAGGGUCCCCAAGAGGCAGUCAUCUAUUUGGGGUGCUCCCAAGAUCAGGGCAGUUCUGAGGGUAGAGAGAGGAAUCACGCACCCGGAUCAGUCCUGAUCACGAAUGAACCAGUUCUAUAUUGGUUGGUUUGAUUUUGUUC